UACUUCAGAGUGAAUUUUUAUAAUGAAUUU
rnacentral:piRNA from 1 species